rnacentral:rRNA from 1 species
UACGUAGGGACCGAGCGUUGUCCGGAAUCAUUGGGCGUAAAGAGCGUGUAGGCGGCCACUUAAGUCCUGCGUGAAAUCUUGCGGCUCAACCCCGGGUCGGCCGUGCGAACUGUCGAGCUGGAGCACUGUAGAGGCAGGUGGAAUUCCGGGUGUAGCGGUGGAAUGCGUAGAGAUCCGGAAGAACACCGGUGGCGAAGGCGGCCUGCUGGGCAGUGGCUGACGCUGAGGCGCGACAGCGUGGGGAGCAAACAGG